rnacentral:rRNA from 6 species
UAUGACUCUCGGCAAUGGAUAUCUUGGCUCUUGCAUCGAUGAAGAGCGCAGCGAAAUGCGAUACGUGGUGUGAAUUGCAGAAUCCCGUGAACCAUCGAGUUUUUGAACGCAAGUUGCGCCCGAGGCCAAUUGGCUAAGGGCACGUCCGCCUGGGCGUCAAGC